AGAAUGCUAUGAAGUGUGCUAAAGUACAAGAUUUUUUUCUUCCAUGAGUGAGUUUUAGCUAUGAGUAAAUAGAGAGAAACAAAGAAAGAUUAUUAGCCUUGCUUCUUUGGACAUUAUCUCUAUCAGAUUGUGCGGUUUCUUGGAGUAAAGUAUUCUAGCAUUUUCUUUCAAACAACAUUUGCAGAUUUCACAUGUUAUGAUUCAAUUGAAGAAUUUGAAGGGUGAAUGAGCCUGACAAGCGGUCUGAGCAAAGAAUUGUGAAUGCAAAACUUAUUCGACAUGGAGCCUGACAACCAGUUGGAAGACUUUACUAUUAUAGACAUUCCACAAGUCUGGGACCUGGAGCCUGACAAACAACCCGAGUGUUGUAUCUACAGGGUUCCCCAAAAUCUCCGCAAUAUAAAUGAAGAUGCCUAAACUCCAAAAGAAAUUUCAAUAGGCCCUUUCCAUCAUGGCAAAGAAAAUUUUAAGAAAAAUGAAGAAUUGAAAUUGAGGUGUUUCUUGGACGUCUGUUAUCGAACUAAAAGGACCCAGGGAGAACUUGCAAAAUGCGUUCAAGAAGAAGAAUUAAAGAUCCGUCACUGUUAUGCAGAGAACUUUCAUGAAAUCGGCAAGGAAGAUUUCGUGAAGAUGAUUCUUUUGGAUUCUAUUUUUAUCAUUGAGCACUUGUGGUGUAUUACGCGAUACCCAGAAGAAAACAACAUCCACGAGAACGUCUUUGAUAUUUUGCAUGACUUGAUACUAUUAGAGAAUCAGGUUCCAUUUUCUGUCCUCGAGGAAUUAUAUAAUUUUGCCUACUUGGACCUCCCUAGUCCGGGCUAGUUAAAUAAAAAAAAUAAUUAAUCAACCACAUGGUAAAAAAAAAAAAAAAAAAAAA